CGGGACGAAUGGAAUAUCGCGUGCCAUAUGCUUCCGCCAUAAUUCUCUGCCUCAAGUUAUCAAUAUUCGGAACACAAAGUCUAUCUUGAAAUCUCAAUACGCCAUCUCCCCCUUGGGAGAAAACCUCUACCUUUUGGUCUUUAACGGAUUCUUUUAACCUAACCAAGGUAGGAUCCUUGUCUUACUUCUCCUUCACUUCCGAAACUAAAGAGGAAUCAGAACCACUUUCAACUCUUAUGUUACC
rnacentral:lncRNA from 1 species